UACGUAGGGUGCAAGCGUUAAUCGGAAUUACUGGGCGUAAAGCGUGCGCAGGCGGUUUUGUAAGUCUGUCGUGAAAUCCCCGGGCUUAACCUGGGAAUGGCGAUGGAGACUGCAAGGCUAGAGUUUGGCAGAGGGGGGUAGAAUUCCACGUGUAGCAGUGAAAUGCGUAGAGAUGUGGAGGAACACCGAUGGCGAAGGCAGCCCCCUGGGUCAAAACUGACGCUCAUGCACGAAAGCUAGGGGAGCAAACAGG
rnacentral:rRNA from 1 species